rnacentral:rRNA from 1 species
CGACCGGCGCACGGGUGAGUAACGCGUAUGUAAUCUACCUGUAACAGAGGGAUAACCCGGAGAAAUCCGGACUAAUACCUCAUAGCACAUAUUAUUCGCAUGAAUUUUAUGUUAAAGAGACUCGGUUACAGAUGAACAUGCGUUCCAUUAGCUAGUUGGCGGGGUUACGGCCCACCAAGGCAACGAUGGAUAGGGGUUCUGAGAGGAAGGUCCCCCACACUGGUACUGAGACACGGACCAA